rnacentral:rRNA from 1 species
GAAUUCGCCCUUAGAGUUUCUUUCUGGCUCAGGACGAACGCUGGCGGCGUGCCUAACACAUGCAAGUCGAACGAGAAUCUCAUGAAGGAGACUUCGGUCAACGGAUUGGGAGGACAGUGGCGGACGGGUGAGUAACGCGUGAGCAACCUGCCUUACAGAGGGGGACAACAGUUGGAAACGACUGCAAAUACCGCAUAACGUAUUUUUGAGGCAUCUUAGAAAUACCAAAGAUUUAUCGCUGCAAGAUGGGCUCGCGUCUGAUUAGCUAGUUGGUGGGGUAACGGCUCACCAAGGCGACGAUCAGUAGCCGGACUGAGAGGUUGACCGGCCACAUUGGGACUGAGAUACGGCCCAGACUCCUACGGGAGGCAGCAGUGGGGAAUAUUGGGCAAUGGGCGAAAGCCUGACCCAGCAACGCCGCGUGAAGGAAGAAGGCCUUCGGGUUGUAAACUUCUUUUACCAGGGACGAGCACAAUGACGGUACCUGGAGAAAAAGCAACGGCUAACUACGUGCCAGCAGCCGCGGUAAUACGUAGGUUGCAAGCGUUGUCCGGAAUUACUGGGUGUAAAGGGCGUGUAGGCGGAGAUGCAAGUCAGGAGUGAAAUCCAUGGGCUCAACCCAUGAACUGCUCUUGAAACUGUAUCCCUUGAGUAUCGGAGAGGCAAGCGGAAUUCCUAGUGUAGCGGUGAAAUGCGUAGAUAUUAGGAGGAACACCAGUGGCGAAGGCGGCUUGCUGGACGACAACUGACGCUGAGGCGCGAAAGCGUGGGGAGCAACCAGAAUUAGAUACCCUGGUAGUCCCCGCUGUAAAC